ACCCGUUCCCUAAACGCCCGAUCCCCUCUCCUUCUCCCCUCUAGAGACCCUUUCUCUCCCUCUCCCUCAUGCGACGACGAACCCGAUCAUCUUCCUCUUCCUCUUCCUUAUCUCCUCCUCUCACCGUCGGUUGAGCUACCCUCCCGAUCCUUCCUCCCUCACCCUCUUGCGAUGCCGGCCAAGCUUCUGCUUCCCCAUAUCUUCCUUACUUCCGGCGGAGCAGCGCCGACCACGGAUCUCUCCGGCGUGCCCUAGAUUGGGUCCAUAGUCGCCGAGCCCUAUGCCAUCGACGCCAUCUCCUUAUCUUCCUCCGAUCACAACCGAUGCCGACGCCCUGCUUCUCACGAUCUCUCUCUCUCGCGCGCAUGAAGUCGCCCCCUCUCAGCCGAUCGCCAGUCGCCCGCACCUGCCACUAACUGACGAAGACCUUCCCCUUUGUCGGAGACCAGAUGAGUGACGCAGCCGACCCUUUGCUCAGCUGCGUGCCCUAGCCUCCAGCCUUGUGCCCUAGCCUCCAUAUCCAACGCCGAAAAGGGGCUUGCUGCACUGAUCUUCGCCAGGGCAGGCCACGACCAGCGCCAUGGUGACCACAAGUUGUUGCACCAAUCGUCACAGCCACGUCUGAGUCCUAGUUGGUUGGAGUUGAUCAUGAGCGGUUUUUCUAGACAGUUGCUUUCUUCUUCAGUGCUCUGGUAUCGAUCUACUGUCGGCAACCUAUUCCUUACUGAUCUCAAUAGUCGUUAGGCCUAGCCGUCGGAGAGGGAACAACCGAUUCGGGGUAUCCAGUGUUGAAUCUCAAUAUGGUAGUGGCGAAUUCUUGGUCUUUUCUUGAUCCGAGCAGCGAGGUGAAUUUCCAACAUGUGAGGUAUUGAUUUUGGGAAUCUAGGAAUUUGAUCUUGUUGUAGAUUUAGGUUCUACGGUAGUUAGAUGAAGAAUGGAAUUUUUACUAGAUUUGGUUUAGUUUAGAUUAAAAUCCAAUGGAAUAGUGGACCGAUUAGGGUAAGGAAACUAACCCUAGUUGACUAAGGGAUUAAAUUUAGGUAGGGUGAAUGAGCAUGUUGAUUAGGGUUUUCCCUAAUUAGGUUGGACAUUUUCUUUAGCUACUUAAUUCAUUUGAAUUUAGCUAAAUAAAACUAUACAUGUAUGAUUUAUUACAUGACUCUGAUUUGUGACGAGUUACCUUAUGUGGCAUUACCUUUGGCACGCGCGCUAUUGGAAGCGGGUACCUUGACUUAUCUCUUUUGAUAUGUCAACUUGGUAUCUGCUGAGUGUUAGACUCACCCCGUUGAUAUUUUAUUAUUUCAAGUUGAGGCCGUUAGGAGGUUCCAGUUGCUAGUCCCCUGGUCACGAGAGGUUACGUAUUAGUCUUGUGGUUUUCUGUUUGUUUCGGGCUUAUAUUGGUUUUGCACUAUGGACUGUAUGGUUUUUCUUAAGACAUUGUGAUGGUUGGAUUUUGCUUGCUUAGUAGAUUUGCAAUUGUUAUGUUUCACUACGCGCCUGUCGAUCGGCAGAAGAGGUAAGUUUAGAUGUUGUUUUUUAUUUCUUUUGUAUUGUGAUGACAGUAGGAGGUUGUUUUGAUAUAAACUGCGUGGUUUGUUUAGAUAAUUUUUUGUUGUUAUUGUUCCGCCCAUGUUGAUCGAGGUAUAUAUGGCCAUGAGAGCAUGUAGUAUAGCUUCAUAUUAUCACCCGUACAAAAGAGAUGUAGCCGAAAUUUCUUCUGAUAGGAAUUAUCUGGGACGUGACAAAAGAUCUUUGCAUUGCAACUACUUUGUUGUGGAUAGGUGCGUGAUCAACUUUCAAAUAAUAUUUGUCUUUUAUUAUAUGUAAGACAACAUUGAUUAUUUGAAAUUUUUUAUACUUAUGGUAAUAUGAGUGCUUACAGUAUAUCCACUAAUGUAGUUUCUGUAUUGUAGAUUUAGUUGAUUCAAUCGUGUGGAGGUAGUGGUUGUGGCCUAAAUUUUUAAUUCUCUAGUUGAAAUCCAUCUUGCAUUAGAGUUUGGAAUGGGGCGUAUAAAAUGUAUUCUUG